AGUCACGGGAACGACAGUAGAGCACGGGGAACACAGCUGUGGUUUUGUAAUGGCGGCCUGUGCAGGCGGGCGCAGCCGCAGCGUGGCCAGGGCAGCACAGCACGGGGACCCGGGGAAUCGCUACGUUGUUCGCCAGAAGCCGGUACUAACACUGUGUGUCAGCCAUACUUCAAUUUUUAAAAGCCCAUUUAAAGAAGAAUAAGGUUUCUCUAUUGUUGGGGGGAACGUUCUAGAACUGUCACUAGGCCAGGUUGCCUGAGGGCGCUGUCAGACCCUCCACGUUCCUCCCUCUGCCCGCUUGGGCAGGGGCAUGGGAGACUCUGGCCGUACUGGAGGAUGUGUUUUUCUGAUCAGCUUUUGCUGCUUGUGUUUGGGAGCUCUGUUAUUAUGUGCUUAAUGUUUAUGAUUAUUUUAAUUUCUUGAUGAAUUGAAACAUCAAUGUGUAACGUCCCUCUUCACGUUAUUACGGCAUAUCUUUCUCCAUCCCUUUACCAUUGACCUAGCUAAGUUUUGAUAUUAAAGUGGAAUUCUUACAGAGAGCAUACACUUGGGUAUUUCUUCUUUAUCUAGUCUGACGAUCUCUGUCUUUAACUGUCGUGUUUACCACAUUCAUGUUUACAGUGAUUAUGGAUACGAUCAGAUCAAACUCUUACCUUAGUAGCCGGUUUAUACUUGUCAUGUUUGUUCUUUGUUUUCUUUAUCUGCUUCUUCUAUCUUCUUGGGUAUAAUUCGGAACUUUUGAUUAUUCUAUUUUAUCUCCUCUACUGACUUAUUCAUAUCUCUUUUUUUAAAAACACUGUUUAGUGGCAUUUACAUUAUAGACUUUAAAAUAAUCUUAGCCCACCAAAAAAUAAUAUUCUACUGCUUCGUGUAUACAGUAGGGACCUUAUGUGCCCAAACCCUCCCUCCUAUACCUGCCGCGGUGGUUAGCAUACACCCCACCUUUGCAUAAGUCGUAACCAUCCAGUGCAUUCUUACUGUUCUUGUUUUAAGCAGUUAUCUUGUAGAGCAAUUAAAAAUACAGACAAUAUAUUUUACCUUCAUUUUGUCUAUUUCCCAGAUUUUUUCUUUUUAGAUCCAAAUCUCUGACCUAUACCACAUUUCCUCGGUCUGAAGAAAUCCCUUAAACAUUUCUUACAGAGCAGGCCUGCCGGAAAUAAAGUCCCUCUGUUUCUAUCUGCUCGGGAAAGUCUUUAUUUCUCCUUUACCUUUGAAGGAUUUAUUUAUCGGAUAUAGAUUCUGGGUUGACUGUUAUUUUCCGUUAACACUUUAAAGAUAUCGCCCCAUUAUCUCACUUGUGUGGUUUCUGAUGAGAAGCCUGCUGUCAUUCUCAUCCUUGUGAUCUUGCGGGUGACGUGGUUCUUUUACUGUGACAGCCAUCAGGACAAUUUCCCCAUUGUCUCUGGCUUUCAGCCAUUUAAUUACGAUUUGCCCUAGUGUGUGUUUGUGUCUGGAUGGUUGUGUAUUUGGGUAUUGACCUUGAUCAGUAAUCUCUGAAUUUCUUAGAUCAGUGGUUGAAUGUUUAUCGCUCAUUUUGGAAAAUUCUCAGCCAUUAUUUCUCCAACUACUUCUUCUGCCUUCUCUUUUCCUCUUCCUUCCCCACACCCGGGAUUCUCAUUCCAUGCACGUUACGCUAUUUGGUAUUGCCACACGGCUCCUAGAUGUGCUGGUUCUCUUUCUUACUCUUUUUUUUUUCCUCUUUGUAUUUCAGUUUGAGCCCUUUGGAGCCAUUUUUAUUUCUGUUUCUGUGUUUUCAAUUUCUAGCCUUUUGAUUUUAUUCUUUCGGUUAGUUUGUGCACCUCUGCUGAAAGUACCUACGUGUGUCAAAGGCCCCCCGCCAUCUCCUCCCACGGGAGCCCCUCAGACCCAAGCGCCGUCUUGCCUGCAUCACCACAGAUUAAAGUUGUCCUUUUCUGGAAAUCAUAAGGGUGGCGCCAUCCAGGACGCGCUCCUUUGUGGUCAGCCGACUGGCUCGACGAUUAGGUCUGUGGAAUUGCCAUGGCUCUUCUCUGUCUUUUGAGCCUCCGUAAAAAAAUUUUUUUUUCAACCUCCAACACCUCCAUAUACAUUUUGGAGUCAGUUUAUCAACACAAGCAAAGUUAACUUUCCGGGAUUUUGAUACAAAUGACAUGAAUUCCACAUAUAAGUCUUGGAGGAACUGACAUCUUUCUAAAUGCGACUUUUUGAAUCCAUAAAUACAGUAUUUGGCUUUAUUUGCUUAGAUCUUUAAUUUCCUUGAAAAAUAUGUUGCAACUUUCAUUAGUUCUUACUUGGACUUUAUACCUAUGUAAUUGGGGGGUUUUUUAUAUUUUAAACUUUUAAAUUUUAUUUGAUCUAUUUUACAUUUCAAUUUUAAGAGAUUAUUGCUUGUCCUCAAAACACGAUUUUCACGUGGAUCUUGUAUCCACCUACCUUGCUAUACUAACUUUUUAGUUAUAACAGAUUUAUUUGAGCUUUAUACGUUAAAAAUUAUGUCAUUUAUGAAUUACAGCAAUUUUCCUUGCCCUUUUCCAGUUUUUAUCGUGGGAUUUCCUUCCCUUGCCUACUGAAUGGACUGGGUUCCAUGGCACACACGCUCUGAUUACAACUUUGCAAAAAAGAGGAAGCAAAGGUGCGUUUAGUUGAAAGCUCUUCUUUAUAUUGCAAACAUUCCUUAGGUCUGUAAGAAAAUGUCGCCACCCAGAGAAUCUGUAUCGGGCACCUUUCAAACAAAGGGACCAGAAAGUCGUGCCUCCGUGAGCUAAGGGAGCCACAUGCUGGACGGACAAGGCACCUGUUGGCAUUGGUGUUUCCUGCCCAGAAUUUACGGAUGUCUGUCUCUCUUCUCAGUGCCAGAAGGGGCAGACUGGGUAAGUUUGUCCCAAGCAGAGUCCCUGGGCCCCGGCGGGAGGAGGCUCAGCAAGAGGCCAGGUUCCCUGGGCAGGGAGAGAAGCCUGUGAGCGCUGGUUGCAGAGCCCUGACAUCCACGUCACAAGCCACACUCUUGGGGGACAGACCUCUCUCCCCCCGAGGCACCAGGCGGGAAGAGGCGAGUGUGACAGACGCAGGCAAGCACUUCCACAGGGGACGUGAAUACGCGCGUGUGGGGCUCAUCGAUGACCCAGUGAAACCACAGAGCAUGUUUUAGAAGGAAGAGCGGAGGCCGAAGGGCCUCCGUGAGCACCGAGGACAUCACAGGUGCAGUGAGGGAGACGCAGGAGGCCCGAGACCCGGGGACGGACACAGGGGGCCAUGGCGCGCUCCCAGCGCAGGCGGAGACGCAAAGCGGGGACAUCAGCCAGCACGAUGGUCCAGCUUUAGGAAAAGUGGUGAGGACCUCACUCAGCCAGAGGAAACUGCGGGAAGCCCUCCCCGGCCUGAAGGAAGACGUGCAGGUUUACUCGGAAAGAGCGACAUAUUCCAGGGAAAGUGAACACAGAAUGUCCCGGACUAAGACAUGUGAUUAAGUUCCGGAAUUCCAGAGAUGGGCCCCCAGAAAUAUUGCCCAAACAGCAAAUCCCCAGCAGCCUGGGGCGGGGAGGGUGCUGGUAUCUGACUGUUUCCAGAUGCCCUGCUGUAACGUCUAAGGCUCAGAGAUUUUGGAGCAAAUCUCUUCAAAAACCUGAUGAAAACGAAGCGGGCCCCAAGAAUGUAUGUCUCUCGAAAACACUGUCGAAGCCAGAGAGAACUGGCAAGCGGUCCCAAACUCUCUGAGCCCACGAUACCUCCGGCGCCUGGAUCAAAGGGUCCUGCGAGCCUCCCUCAGGACCGACUCUAGGGAGGAGGGCAGCACGGACCGGGGGCGCCGAGUCCCACAGAAGGAGGGCUCACGUGGAGCAAAAUGCACAAAUCACGGCUGUACCAGAGAACUUAAGUGUAAUCCUUGAGAAUAAAGUUACGAGCUACAGGGCCCUCCUC